ACCCCUCUAUCCUCUGUCCUGCUCCACCUAUUGUCUCUGCCUUCUUUCCAUCUGUAUUUCACUCUGUGGUUUGUGAGAAAUUUUGCCAAACCAACAAUCCUUUUGCGGUUUGAUUUAAAGCCGUGUCUCUCCUGCUCUGUCUGUUCUCUCUGCUAAAUUUUCUCUCUACCUGUUUUUCACUCUUGGCUUGCUGCUGAAAAACGCCAAGCGACACAGUCCUCCUGUGUCUUCUCCAAUCUUCACAUGUAAGAUCCAACAGUGUGAGGCACAUAGCAGCCAGAAACUGUAAUGCCACAGAACAGAGAGGCUUCAUCAUCACCAUCUUCAUCACCGUACGAUCAGAGCGUGAGACUUCACAUCUGGAGCACAGGAGACAUUCUGUGAUAAGUCUUCCUUCUAGCUUGUCCCACAAGCAGUCGGUGAGAUUUACUCACAACAAAAAGGGUUAAUGACAUAAUUUCCAUGAAAACAUGUGUUCAUUCUUUGUAAACUGUUUAAAUUGUGUUUUCACUUGACCUUAGGAGUGUUAGAGUGUAUUGUAAUGUCUGUACUCAGGUGUUUCCCUCUGUGAUCCAUCCCCUUCAGAGCUGAGACACUCAGGACUGAACAGACUGCACAGUUUCUGUGACUGAGCCUCCAAAACACCUUCUUUGAAACCACUCAUGAUAGAAGGGCUUUAUAUUUGCAGCAGCACUACUACAGUUGGCAGGAAUGUUGCUGCAGGAAAACAUCCCUGGAGAUCACCAUCAUUGUCAGACUGACUGUGCCUCCUCUGUGCAGUGUCAAGAUCCUCCCUAAAUGAGUGUUUCUCAGCUAUCCUGCUUCUGUGCUGCUUGCCACACAUCAAACUCUGGCCGGAUGACAGGGAGGAUCCACUCUGAAGUCACUGGACAUUAUGAGGAUCAUAUGGGACUUCAUAGUUUCACAGUAACAUUGUGCUCUGUGAUUACAGGUUUUAAAUGGAUACAAUGACUGCCUCUCUCUGAUCAACAGGCUAAAGGAUUGUUUUCAUUGUUAGUGCUCUGUACAAUGUAUGCUUAUUUAGUAUUUCAUCACAGAGCAAACCUUUAUUUAUUUAACAUAUUUUUAUUUUGUUUUAAUGUUGAAUUAACUGUAGGGAUUUUUUUAAGUGGGCACUCGGGAUGUCAUAUGACCAGAAAUGUGGUAACUGGAAUUCAACAGUAUGGAAGAAAAAAUCUGCUAAGAACAAAACACACACAAAACCCCCAAGAAAAUUCAAAUUCAU